CCUACGGGCGGCAGCAGUGGGGAAUAUUGCACAAUGGGGGAAACCCUGAUGCAGCGACGCCGCGUGAGUGAAGAAGUAUUUCGGUAGGUAAAGCUCUAUCAGCAGGGAAGAAAAUGACGGUACCUGAGUAAGAAGCCCCGGCUAACGACGUGCCAGCAGCCGCGGUAAUACGUAGGGGGCAAGCGUUAGCCGGAUUUACUGGGAGUAAAGGGAGCGUAGAAGGUGCGGCCAGUCAGAAGUGAAAGCCCGGGGCUCAACUCCGGGCCUGCUUUUGAAACUGUGUGACUGGAGUGCAGGAGAGGUCAGCGGACUUCCUGGUGUCGCGGUGAAAUGCGUAGAUAUCAGGAGGAACACCAGUGGCGAAGGCGGCUUACUGGACUGUAACUGACGUUGAGGCUCGAACGCGUGGGGAGCAACCAGGAUUAGAUACCCCAGUAGUC
rnacentral:rRNA from 1 species